GAAAUUGUUUUUGCUAAUAAGACAAAAAUAGAAAGUCAUUUUCAUGAAGGAAACAUGAAAACACUGGGGAAAUAAGUGAUGCGAACAUUAUGCGUACACAGCAUCUCAUCUGGGUUUCCUGAUGAGGGAAUUUUAAAUUUUUAAAAGAAGCAAGUCUUCUCUGAACUUCAAAAAUUCCUCUGGAAGUUUUACCAACGUCGCAAAAAGGACAAGAGUUGCUCUCUUUAGGAGAACUGAAAGAAAUGCACGGAAAAGAAAAGAAAAGAAAAAAAAGAGAAAACUAAUCUUUGCAAAACAUUUAUACUUGUUCUGUUUUGGAGGAAAAGUAAUUUCUAAUUUUUUUCAAUUUUUCCCCAGUUGGCUAUUGUUAGCUCUAAAGGCACAGCUACAGGAUCUGUUAAUAUUGUGGUAAUUAAUCCAUGCUGUAAAAUGUCUCAUUAUUUCAAUGUAUGCUUAGUGUGCAUUGCCAAGAUGCAAUAAAAGAAAAUUAAAAUAACCUAGGAGGCAUAA
rnacentral:lncRNA from 1 species